UACGAAGGGGGCUAGCGUUGCUCGGAAUCACUGGGCGUAAAGCGCACGUAGGCGGAUUGCUAAGUCAGGGGUGAAAUCCUGGAGCUCAACUCCAGAACUGCCUUUGAUACUGGCGAUCUUGAGUCCGGGAGAGGUGAGUGGAACUGCGAGUGUAGAGGUGAAAUUCGUAGAUAUUCGCAAGAACACCAGUGCGAAGGCGGUUCUCUGGGCAUUACCUGACGCUGAGGAGCGAAAGUGUGGGGAGCGAACGAGGUAGAUCAU
rnacentral:rRNA from 1 species